AGGACGAACGCUGGCGGCGUGCCUAAUACAUGCAAGUCGAACGAGAGCGACCAGUGCUUGCACUGGUCAAUCUAGUGGCGAACGGGUGAGUAACACGUGGGUAACCUGCCCAUCAGAGGGGGAUAACAUUCGGAAACGGAUGCUAAAACCGCAUAGGUCUUCGAACCGCAUGGUUUGAAGAGGAAAAGAGGCGCAAGCUUCUGCUGAUGGAUGGACCCGCGGUGCAUUAGCUAGUUGGUGAGGUAACGGCUCACCAAGGCCGUGAUGCAUAGCCGACCUGAGAGGGUGAUCGGCCACAGUUGGGACUGGAGACCACGGACCCAAACGUCCGUAACGGGAGGCAGCGAAGGUAGGGAAUCUUCCGCAAUGGACGCAAGUCUGACGGAGCGACGCCGCGUGAGUGAAGAAGGUUUUCGAUACGUAAAUCUAGUUAGUUAGAGAAGAACAAGUGCUAAGAGUAACUAGUUAGCGU
rnacentral:rRNA from 1 species